UCUCCGUUGGUGAACCAGUGGAGGGAUCAUUACCGAGUGCAAACUCAUAACCCUUUGUGAACCUAUAUCUGUUGCUUCGGCGGCUCGCUCUCGGGCGAGCCCGCCGGUAAUAUCAGUAUCUCUGUUUGAACCCGACGAUACUUCUGAGUGUUCUUAGCGAACAGUUAAAACUUUUAACAACGGAUCUCUUGGCUCUA
rnacentral:misc_RNA from 1 species